CGCUGGGUGAGACAGAGCCCUGGACGGCAGCCGGACACAAGGCGGGAACGCCCCGUCCAUCCGUCAUCACUUCCCCUCCACACUUGCGACUUUCCUGCUUCCUGACCUCUGACAAGGAACUGAACUCCAGCCAGGGUGUUACCUGCGGCGUGGGAGCCUGCCCUCCUCCUGACCGGAGCCCCUGCCAGGCGCAGCCCUGCCACCCCUCCCCGGUUCUCACACGGAACCUCUCCUCACACAGGCGGAGGGAAACUCGCAGCCCUGUGGGCCACAGAGCUGGCGGGCGGGAUGGCCGAGACACCAGCUCCCCGCUCAUUCCACACCAUUCAGGGGCCUCCCUGCCCCUCCUGCCUCAGUUUCUCCACCUCCAUAGACGCCUCCACCAGGAAGCCCUCUGGGAAGAAGACGGCCUCUGCGUCCCAGCUCUGUCCAGUGGCCUCCAAGGUCCCCACCCAGCAUCAGCCCUGAGCAUGAGCAGGCAUCGUGUGGGGGGUAAGCCGUUGGCAAGGCCACUUGGCUCUACCUUCAAGACAUACCAGAGCCUAACGCGUCCCGCCGCCUGGUCCCCUCCCGCUGGGACCUGCGCCCACCUCCUCACCGGCCCCUCCUCUGCACACAACCUCUGGAAAACCUUAAUCAGGUCAUAUCCCCGUCUUGGCCAGGCCCCCCGGGCUGCCGUCUCACUCCAAUAAAACUCUUUAUAGUAACCCAUGGGCCGGCCUCCUCCCUCUUCCUCAAUCUGCACCAGCCUCGGUCUCUCACUGUUCCUCAGACUUGCCAG
rnacentral:lncRNA from 1 species